UAAAAAUGAAUUCAAAAUGAAUAAUAAAGAUGUAUGUUAGGAAGUGGACAUAUUGACUGGGAAUUAUAAUGGUAUUUUUUAAUCAGCGUUUUUAAACUUUUUCCUCCAAAGGAGGAUGUGCAGCUUAUUGUUCGUCUACCUCUCUUUAUCCAGGGGGUGUGCUUUAUUUCAUCACACGUUUUUGCUUGUUCUCAUGCAUGUUUUGGAGUAUGUUUGUGUGCUUGUGCUUAACAGCAGAAUCUACUGGCACCAGUUAAUCAUAAAUAGCAGAAAAGAGACGCAAUCUAGAAAGAGUAGUUUGUUGCCAGACUAUGCAAGCUAUGGCCGUGUGGCUUGGCCAGAAGUCUGAAAACAUUCAGCUGCUGAUUUAAGCUAGUGAAAGCCUGUAGUGCACUUUAUGGGAAUAAGACUGUUUUGAAUAAACUAGAGUAACAAAGUUAAUUUGUUCAGUUGGAUUUGCACAGGCCAUUGGAGGCUUUUGAAAUUUAAAAGUUGUUGCCAAUUUGCUUUCUUCUUAGAGAGUAACAUCUAAGACUUUUUCAACUGAUCUGAUGCUAUUUUAUACUAUUGCAUUUACUUUCAGAGAUAGAAAAGAACACUUGUAGUUUAGCUUUGCACAGUAAUUUUUUGUUAUUUUUUUUUCUACCAGGAACUUUCUGUAUGUUUGCAAAAAGAAAAAAUGUCACCAGAAAAAUUGCCAGCCCAGACGCCCCCAGCUGCCUCUUCCCCUGACUCUGGAAAAGCAACACCGCAGCUUCCUACAGGCUCUCCAGCACCUUACACAAAAGGGCGUUUCUCUGUUUCGCACAUCACAACACCAUCACCAAUUGCAGAAGAGCAGAACGGUGUUGCAAAAGAUAUGAAUACAGGGGAGAAAAAUGGUGCCCUAGAGAAAACACCUAAAUCUAAUGGUGUUAGCCAAGAUGAUAAAACCUCGAUGGCAACACCUAACAACUUAACAAGAAGUUCACGACGUAGUAUGAAGACUCCCAUGAAGAGGAGGAGUGGUGCUGUAGCAGUUAUCAGUUCAAAAAGAAGAAGCGGUGCCUCUACUGCCAACUUACUAGUUGCGAAAUCUUGGGCAGAAGUGGUAAAAUUGGGUGUUGCAAGACCACAGGCAAAGGCCGUUAAAAAACGUGCCCCAAAACGAAGACCAAUGAAGAAGACAACACAGUCACCAAAGGUGGGAUGAAACAUUUGAUGUUAAUCUUUUUGACAGAAGGCUUCAAAAUUCUUUGCAAGUCACAAGACAACUGUCACCUGUUUGCAAAAUACCUUUUAAGGAACCAUCCAAGAAUUGUACAAAAUGGUCAAAGUGGAACAACACUUGUGAAAAAAAUCAGAUGUAGUCAAGACUCACACAGAACUUGAAGUGACCAUAAAUUUUGGUGUUUGACAGAUUAACUGAUAUGACUAUCCAAAGAUACUUUUCUUACUACAGCCUGCAUACAGAAUGUUCUUUAAAUGAGCACAGAAUGUGCUUCAGGUAAUUUAAAGGCUUCCUGGCUAUCUUAAAAAUUAUAUUGAUUUUCACCUUGAAUAUUCACCUGUCCUUUAUUUUUAGAGAUAUACAGGGAAUGUGGGAGGGGAAGUGCGCCUUUUCCCCUUUUUUUUUUGUCACUCAGCACAAGGACAGUUAUUGCCCAGCAAUAACAGUAUGUUCCAUUUAGAGUCCAAAGCACUAAUAUCAUUACUUUUUCUCUAGCUUUGAUGUAAAAAAGAUCCUGAUUGUGGUUACAGAAUCAUAAUCCUUCAGUAUUUAUUUUGAGGAGCUGUGAAGCCAACUUUUAACUGCCUUUGUAUUCUACAGCUUUUUGUUUACAGCCUUUCUUCCUCUCUUUUUUCAAUCUUAUUUUUAGAAAAAAUAUAAUAAUGUUGCUGAUAAGAGAAAUGUAGCAGUCUUUCAGGCAAGUAAGAAUAACCAGUAUUAAACAAAAGGUAGAAAAUCAGAAAACUAUUGGCUAAAAGCUGCUAUCUUGAAAUGAGACUUGUUUGUUUUCAAUAAGUAAUUUUCUUAUUUCUCUUCAAGAAUGAAAGAUUCUCAGUGAAAGCUAGUAGUUAAAAUUAAUAUCCACUUGAUGUGAAAAUGGAACAAACAUCAGAAGGACCAAGCAUUUUGCUUGGCUAAAGAAACUGCAGUUCUCAAGAGGAGGAAUUUAUCUACGUUGGGAAUUUGUUAAUAGAUAAUUGAUGUAUACAAUGGAUAUGCAUAUACCAUUUGGAUUUUUUUUCUACUGUAGCUUCACGCAAUUUUUGGCAUUGUAAUCUUUCAAGAUGUCAAUGCUUCUUUAUACAUUUCAUGCGCUUAUAUGUAAAGUAUGUUUAAAUAAGCCACUGUUUUCAGUAGAUCCUGCUUUUUCAGUGAAACUCUCGUUUUGAAUAUUGUGGUUGUCAGAAUUCUGAAGCAGCAAUGCAAUAAAAGAAGUUGUAUAAGAUCUUUUAUAUACAGAAACCUAGAUGUACACUUUGCAUAUAUGUACAAGUGCUUUUCUCUGGUUACAGUGUUUGCAGUCUAGUGCUAGUAAUCUUUACUAUGAAAGGACUUUCUAUUUUUAAUCCUUUAGAUAAUUUUUCUUUAUAAAGAAAUAUAAUUAAAAGUGACUUUAUUGCGAACAGUUUUGAAGUGCUGAAAUUACACAUGCUGCCUAUUUUUCAAAGCCUGUUACUGCUAAUGAGUUUUUUAUCAUUAUUCUGCAAAGAAUGGUGAUGUUAUGAAUUGGUAUGUUAUAUUGUCAACAAGCAUUGUUUUUGAAGAAAAGGUUUGAAGAUAUUCAAAACUAUCACUGUUGCAACAAAUCUAUUGCUUUCUUUUAAAUAGUUGCGCCAUCCAUUACAGUCCUUUGAAUUCUGACAGUAAUUCAGGCAAACAGGAGGAACCAAAGACCAGAUGAUGCUUGUGUAGCAGGCAUUUUUCUGUUCAUUGCCAAGUGCACAGUUCACUGUUCGGUCACCUGUGUCGGCUGGUUUAGUGCCUUUAAUGCAGUUCUCUGCAUGCUCCCUAUUCUAUAAAGCUUACUUGGGGACUUCAGACAUGGCCUGUCUUAUUAUUCCCUAAGGAAGGGUAAGGCCUUUACUGUCCAGCUGGAAGGAUCACUAAUUAGAGCCCUUGCUUUGGCACAGAGUGUGUCAAGCCUGCAAGCCUUCCUGCUGGGAUCAAUGGCAUUCAUGUUUGCUUUCAUGAAUGCACAAUGGACAGGGAUCUUGGCAAAGAACUGCCUAUUUAGCUUGUGCUGAGAAGCUGAGUCUUCACAACAUUUUAAAGUAAUUGUAGAGGUAGAAAGGGAGCUAUAAGAAUACACCCUUAUUAUUCUGCUCAAAAAAAAAAAAAAAAAAAAAAGAAGAAAA